AGAGUACUCAUGCAGAAGAGCAAAGAUAUAUCUAUGGGGAUUUAAACAGCGUUAUUUGUAAUAUGGACAAUUUUUAAAAAAAAGUUAAUAUCCAUCAAUAGGGAACAGUUAAAAGUCUAGCCAGGCUUGGUGGCACACAGCUGUAGUCCCAGCUACUUGAGAUGCUGAGGCAGGUCGAUGGCUUGAGCCCAGGAGUUUGAGGCUGUAGUGCACAAUGAUUGUGGGCAGGAAACAGGACCUCGACUUUGGACCAGAUUCAAGACUGGCUGAAACAGGGAAGAGGCACAGAAAGCACUUCUCCGUAAGACACGCCCACCAGCACGACAGUUUACCAUUGCCAUGGCGACACCCAGAAGUUACUGCCUUUUUCCAUAACAACCUGGAAGUUACCACCCCUUUUCUGGAAAUUUCUGAAUAACCCACUCUUUAAUUUGCAUGUAAUUAAAAGUCAAUAUAAAUGU
rnacentral:lncRNA from 10 species